rnacentral:rRNA from 1 species
AUUGAACGCUGGCGGCAGGCCUAACACAUGCAAGUCGAGCGGAGCGGCGGACGGGUGCGUAAUGCCUAGGUAUCUGCCUGGGAGUGGGGGAUAACGUCAGGUAACGGGCGCUAAUACCGCAUACUAUCAGAUGAGCCUAGGUGGGAUUAGCGAGUUGGUGGGGUAAAGGCCUAACAAGGCGACGAUCCGUAACUGUUCUGGGAGGAUGAUCAGUCACACUGGAACUGAGACACGGUCCAGACUCCUACGGGAGGAAGCAGUGGGGAAUAUUGGACAAUGGGCGAAAGCCUGAUCCAGCCAGGCCGCGUGUGUGAAGAAGGUCUUCGGGUUGUAAAGCACUUUAAGUUGGGAGGCGUUACCAACAGAAUAAGCACCGGCUAACUUCGUGCCAGCAGCCGCGGUAAUAC